GGUGGGGUGCUGCUCAGCCCCAUGCUGCUUUUUGCGCUGCUGGCGCUGCUGCUCACCGGCGCGCUGCGCCUGGCCCUGCAGCGGCUCGGUGUGGCGCGCUGGAUCUGGCACGAGGCGUUGUUCGACUGUGCCCUG
rnacentral:sRNA from 1 species